rnacentral:rRNA from 1 species
AACGAACGCUGGCGGCAGGCCUAACACAUGCAAGUCGAACGAGUAAGAGCCGUAGCAAUACGGAGUUCUGCUAGUGGCGCACGGGUGAGUAACGCGUGGGAACGUGCCUUGGAGUUCGGGAUAACAGUUGGAAACGACUGCUAAUACCGAAUAUUCCCUCAGGGGGAAAGAUUUAUCGCUCCAAGAUCGGCCCGCGUAAGAUUAGGUAGUUGGUGGGGUAAUGGCCUACCAAGCCUACGAUCUUUAGCUGGUCUGAGAGGACGACCAGCCACACUGGAACUGAGACACGGUCCAGACUCCUACGGGAGGCAGCAGUGGGGAAUAUUGGACAAUGGGCGAAAGCCUGAUCCAGCCAUACCGCGUGAAUGAUGAAGGCCUAGGGUUGUAAAAUUCUUUUGCAGGGGAAGAUAAUGACGGUACCCUGCGAAUAAGCUCCGGCUAACUUCGUGCCAGCAGCCGCGGUAAU